rnacentral:rRNA from 17 species
AUGUAAAAUGACUCUCGGCAACGGAUAUCUCGGCUCUUGCAUCGAUGAAGAACGUAGCGAAAUGCGAUACUUGGUGUGAAUUGCAGAAUCCCGUGAACCAUCGAGUCUUUGAACGCAAGUUGCGCCCAAAGCCAUUAGGUUGAGGGCACGCCUGCCUGGGUGUCACAC